rnacentral:rRNA from 1 species
GAUGAACGCUGGCGGCGUGCUUAACACAUGCAAGUCGAACGGGAAACAUUUUAAUGAAGCUUCGGCAGAUUUGGUUUGUUUCUAGUGGCGGACGGGUGAGUAACGCGUGGGUAACCUGCCUCACACUGGGGGAUAACAGUCAGAAAUGACUGCUAAUACCGCAUAUGCUAUAAGAUUCACAUGAAUCAAGUAGGAAAGGAGAAAUCCGCUGAUAGAUGAGCUUGCGUCUGAUUAGCUAGUUGGUGGGGUAAAGGCCUACCAAGGCGACGAUCAGUAGCCGAGCUGAGAGGCUCAACGGCCACAUUGGGACUGAGAUACGGCCCAG